rnacentral:rRNA from 1 species
UACGGGGGGAGCAAGCGUUGUUCGGAUUUACUGGGCGUAAAGGGCGCGUAGGCGGCGUAACAAGUCACUUGUGAAAUCUCCGGGCUUAACCCGGAGCGGCCAAGUGAUACUGUUGUGCUAGAGUGCGGAAGGGGCUACUGGAAUUCUCGGUGUAGCGGUGAAAUGCGUAGAUAUCAAGAGGAACACCUGCGGCGAAGGCGGGAUUGCUGGGCCGACACUGACGCUGAGGCGCGAAAGCUAGGGGAGCGAACGGG